rnacentral:rRNA from 1 species
GAUGAACGCUAGCUACAGGCUUAACACAUGCCAGUCGCGGGGCAGCAUGGGGGUUGCUUGCAAUCCCCGAUGGCGACCGGCGCACGGGUGAGUAACGCGUAUCCAACCUGCCCUUCACCACGGGAUAACCCGGCGAAAGUCGGACUAAUACCGUAUGUUGUCCAUUGACGGCAUCCGAUUUGGACGAAAGGUUUGGCGGUGAAGGAUGGGGAUGCGUCCGAUUAGCUGGACGGCGGGGUGACGGCCCACCGUGGCGACGAUCGGUAGGGGUUCUGAGAGGAAGGGCCCCCACACGGGAACUGAGACACGGUCCAGACUCCUACGGGAGGCAGCAGUGAGGAAUAUUGGUCAAUGGGCGUAAGCCUGAACCAGCCAAGUAGCGUGCAGGAGGACGGCCCUAUGGGUUGUAAACUGCUUUUAUGCGGGGAUAAAGUGGCCCACGUGUGGGUUUUUGCAGGUACCGCAUGAAUAAGGACCGGCUAAUUCCGUG